GCGCCAGGCGCAGCGGAGCAACCUGCUCCCGGGUGGGACCAGAGCUGCGCAGUCAUGAUCAUCACUGAGGCCGCGGCAGAGUCCGCUGUCCCCGCGGUGCCCGGUGAUGCAGGAGCCACUGGAGCCCCGGAGCGCGAGCAGCUGGUGUGGCCCUGGAAAGAUGCCGCGAUACGGGCGCUGGUGCAGCGCAUCCACCAGUUGCAGGCUGAGCGCGCGCAGGCCUUCCGCCGGCUGGAGGAGGGACACUUGGAGGGCUUUCAGGUGGUCGAUGCGGGUGCAGGGCCUGAGAGCCGGGGCCGUAGCCUCAGGAUCCCCGCCUGCCGCAGAGGCCACCGACAGUACCUGAGCAGCGACCCGCCCUACGACUUUCCGCGCUACCGGAGCACAGUACACGAGGUGACCCAGGCCUUCGCCGCCGCCUCGCGGGAGGUGCUGGCGGUGGAGGCCGAGCUAGCCGGACCCCGAGCGCAGCCACUGCUCGCGAGCCACGUGCGCAGGCUGCAGCAGCUGGAGGAGACGCGCCUGGCCACGGUGGCCCUGCUGCAGCUGAUGGGGAUGCCAGAGCUGACUGGGCAGGACAACCUGCAGAUGCACCAGCUGAAGAUGAAGUGAGCACCGCCUCCCAGUGGGCUGACCAUGCUAGAUUUGCACAUGCACCCUUGGGCACCCACCCCCAGCCAGGGUAAUUAAAACCAUGGAAGCGAUCAGUGAGGUUCUCCAGGAUCUCAGGUUUGAUGCAGAAUCUGCCGAGUGAUGGUGGCUCCCCAGGGACAAGCCAGAGGAGAUGGGAAAUGGGGUGUACAGCGCUCUGCCCUGACUGCCAGCUGGCUGGGGUCAUGCCCCACCGGACCACUGACCUUCUUCAAGUUCGCCUCACCUCUCAUAAUAAAGAACCUAAAGAACCUUU